rnacentral:rRNA from 1 species
GUGCCAGCAGCCGCGGUAAUACGAAGGUCCCAAGCGUUGUUCGGAAUCACUGGGCGUAAAGGGAGCGUAGGCGGCGUGGUAAGUCAGAUGUGAAAUCCCGGGGCUCAACCCCGGAACUGCAUCCGAUACUGCCAUGCUAGAGGAUUGGAGAGGUAGCUGGAACUCUUGGUGUAGCAGUGAAAUGCGUAGAGAUCAAGAGGAACACUCGUGGCGAAAGCGAGCUACUGGACAAUUCCUGACGCUGAGGCUCGAAGGCUAGGGUAGCGAAAGGGAUUAGAUACCCCUGUAGUCCUAGCAGUAAACGGUGCACGCUUGGUGUGAGGGGAAUCGACCCCCCUUGUGCCGGAGCUAACGCGUUAAGCGUGCCGCCUGGGAAGUACGGUCGCAAGACUAAAACUCAAAGAAAUUGACGGGGACCCGCACAAGCGGUGGAGUAUGUGGCUUAAUUCGAUGCAACGCGAAGAACCUUACCAAGGCUUGACAUGCAUCUCUAAACACGUGAAAGCGUGUGACCCUUCGGGGAAUUUGCACAGGUGCUGCAUGGCCGUCGUCAGCUCGUGUCGUGAGAUGUUGGGUUAAGUCCCGCAACGAGCGCAACCCUUGUGAUUAGUUGCCAGCACGUCAAGGUGGGAACUCUAAUCAGACUGCCCAGAUCAACUGGGAGGAAGGUGGGGACGACGUCAGGUCAGUAUGGCCCUUACGCCUUGGGCUGCACACGUACUACAAUGCCCAGCACAAUGAGAACCGAUGCCGCGAGGUGGAGGAAAUCUGUAAAACUGGGCUCAGUUCGGAUUGGAGGCUGCAACUCGCCUCCAUGAAGUUGGAAUCGCUAGUAAUGGUGCAUCAUCUACGGCACCGUGAAUACGUUCCCGGGUCUUGUACACACCGCCCGUCACAUCAUGGAAGCCGGUCGCACCCGAAGUGCUCGUACCAACCUGCAAAGGGGGUAGAGUCCUAAGGUGUAGCUGGUAACUGGGAUGAAGUCGUAACAAGGUAACC